rnacentral:rRNA from 1 species
GACAAGGCGUUUUGUCCAAUGUGUGGACAUGAUAAUGAAACCCUAUACCAUGCACUAAUUGCAUGUGACCACGUGAAGCUUUUCUGGAGAGAGGCCACUGACUAUUUUGAUCUCAAGAUCCCACAUCUACAUCCAGUAACUUGGUAACGGGACAUACUGGAUACCUCCUUUCUAAGCAAGGAUAGGGCAUCAGUGGCAGUGUCAGUCAUGUGGUCGAUAUGGAGCAGUAGAAAUAAAUAUACCCACAAUGAAGUGAAGUACUAGCCGGGGAAAUCAAUGAUUUUGAUCCAGGAGCUCAUUCAUGGACUGUAUAUCCCAAGUCAGAAGGGGGAUGAGGGGAGGAAGGAGAAGGCCAAAUGGAAACCGCCGGAGGAAGGGUGGGUUAAGAUUAACACAGAUGCUGCCAUUGACAACAUAGCUGGUGUGGCGGCAACCGGGGUGGUGGCCCGGGACCAUGGUGGACGGGUUGUCGUUGCUCGCACGACAAAGAUCCCACGGAUGACAGAUGCUUAUGCGGCUAAACUAUUGGCUGUUCGAGAUGCUUCAGCCUUAGCAGUAGAAAAAGGAUGGCAGAAGGUGGUGAUAGAAACAUAUUGCCAAACAAUCUGUGAAGAGUGGAGGACUGGAGGCUUUCGUUCAGUUGGAGGCCACGUGCUGCGAGAGAUCAGCCUUCUUCUCGCAGAUUUGCAGGGGUCUGGAAUCAUUUAUACUCGACGAGAUGUUAAUGAGGCUGCUCAUUGGUGUGCUAAAUAUGGUAUUUCUAGUGAUUCGAGUGUAAGAGUCUUGUAUGUAAUCCCGUACCCUUGA